rnacentral:rRNA from 1 species
UAGGGAAUAUUGGGCAAUGGGUGCAAGCCUGACCCAGCCAUGCCGCGUGCCGGAAGACGGCCCUAUGGGUUGUAAACGGCUUUUAUACAGGAACAAAAACAGGGAUGCGUCCUUGACUGAGGGUACUGUAUGAAUCAGCACCGGCUAACUCCGUGCCAGCAGCCGCGGUAAUACGGAGGAUGCAAGCGUUAUUCGGAAUUAUUGGGCGUAAAGCGUCCGCAGGUGGUGCCUCAAGUCUGCUGUCAAAGACCGAAGCUCAACUUCGGGCAGGCAGUGGAAACUGAAGCACUAGAGUACGGUAGGGGUAGAGGGAAUUUCCAGUGUAGCGGUGAAAUGCGUAGAGAUUGGAAAGAACACCAGUGGCGAAGGCGCUCUACUGGACCGUAACUGACACUCAGGGACGAAAGCUAGGGGAGCGAAAGGGAUUAGAUACCCCCGUAGUCC